rnacentral:rRNA from 1 species
GGAGGAAGAGCUAACGAGGAUUCCCCUAGUAACUGCGAGUGAAGCGGGAAAAGCUCAAAUUUAAAAUCCGGUGGUCGUUUGGCCAUCCGAGUUGUAAUUUAGAGAAGCGUCUUCCGCGCUGGACCGUACACAAGUCUCCUGGAACGGAGCGUCAUAGAGGGUGAGAAUCCCGUCUUUGGUACGGACCCCCAGGGCUUCUGUGAUGCGCUCUCGAAGAGUCGAGUUGUUUGGGAAUGCAGCUCAAAAUGGGUGGUGAACUCCAUCUAAAGCUAAAUAUUGGCGAGAGACCGAUAGCGAACAAGUACCGUGAGGGAAAGAUGAAAAGCACUUUGGAAAGAGAGUGAAACAGUACGUGAAAUUGUUGAAAGGGAAACGCUUAAAGUCAGUCGCGUCCGCCGAGACUCAGCCUCGCUCCGGCUUGGUGUAUUUCUCGGUCGACGGGUCAGCAUUGAUUUCGUCCCUCGGAUAAUGGCAAGGGAAAGGUGGCACCUUUGCGGGUGUGUUAUAGUCUUUUGUCGCAUGCGAGGGGCGAGAUCGAGGAACUCAGCACGCGCACCCCUCUGGGGUGUGUCGGGGCCAAGGCCCACGCCACGUGCUUAGGAUGCUGGCGUAAUGGCUUUAAACGACCCGUCUUGAAACACGGACCAAGGAGUCCAACACGCCCGCGAGUGUUCGGGUGGAAAACCCGUGCGCGUAAUGAAAGUGAAAGUUGGGACCUUCGUCGUGAAGGGCACCGACGCCCGGACCAGACCUUCUGUGACGGAUCUGCGGUGGAGCGUGUGUGUUGGGACCCGAAAGAUGGUGAACUAUGCCUGAAUAGGGUGAAGCCAGAGGAAACUCUGGUGGAGGCUCGUAGCGAUUCUGACGUGCAAAUCGAUCGUCAAAUUUGGGUAUAGGGGCGAAAGACUAAUCGAACCAUCAGAUGUG